rnacentral:lncRNA from 10 species
UGGCGCGGCCUUUGUCUCACUUCAGCCAGAGAGCGGGGUUAGGGCUUCAUUGCCUUGUGUCCUCUGCUCCGGGAGACUUCGGUGAUUCUGCCACUCCCUCCGUCGCUCUGUGACCUGCUGGCAUUGAAUGAUUUAUAGCUAAGACUCCAGGACACCCCUGAAGCCGAGAAAUGAAAUCCCAAGUUGACCGUCAAGUCCAACGCUCGCUGCAGACAUCUAGUGGACCCGGCGCUCGCGGACGGAAGCGGACAGACCUAGUUGGAUCCUUAUCCCACCAAUCUGGCCCACCUUUGCUGCCAUCUAACUCCGCUGACCGGCCCACCGUUCCUCCACUGUUCGCUGGUUGACCCGGGCAGCGGAGAGAGGAGAGAUACAAACAAUAAACAGCAAACAUAAGUACAGAGGACAGUAUAGAUAAUAACUCCUACGAGAACAACAAAAAAUUCCAG